ACGGAUGUGGUGAAAUGGUAGACACAUUAUAUUUAGGAUAUAAUAGUAUUAUAUACUAUAUGGGUUCAAAUCCCAUCAUCCGUA